GUGCCAUCUAGGCUCACUGCAACCUCUGCUUGCCUGGUUCAAGCAAUUCCCCUGCCUCAGCCUCCCGUGUAGCUGGGACUACAGGCGCGUGAGGAUUUCCUAAUUUUUUAAGGUAGCAGAAGACAGCACCUGCUGUGAAUCCAGGUUCUACUGGGAAGUCCUAGCUCCUCACCUCUGGUAGUUUUGUUUCACUCUAAUGCUUCCCUUAACGUGCUUAGCCAGAGUACUUUGGUUAUAAACCGGAGUACUUUGUCUUCAACAAGAAGGGACUGUCUCAGAGACCCAGGAAAAGGUCUAUGCCAGGCAGUAUGGGGCACAGACUUCUGAGGAAUUGUUAAGAUAAUAUUGACAACAUACCAUGGACUGAGUCAAGCUAUCCAGUAAUCUAGUGAAGAAGCUGAUGAGUUCAUGAGACUGCCGGUUCAAACUCAGCAUGAUUUUAUCGUCUUUCAAGAAGGAGAGAAUGUAAAUAAAUUAGCUAACUUUGGAAUCUUGCAUUCUCAUUUGUUUAGUAGUUAUUUAAAUUCAUUAAAUUGCUUCAUAUAAGUAACCAUUAUUCUUGACGGUAAAAUUAAGUUUUUCUGUGCCUGGCUUAUUUCACUUAGCAUAAUGUCUUCCUUGGUCAUCCAUGUUAUUACAAAUGGUAAGAUGUUUUUCUUUUGCGAGACUGAUCUUAUUUUCUCAAGAUGACUGACUGGAAACAUCAGAUGCCAGUUCUCAGAAAGAUCAAAGUUACAACUGAAUGGUCAUGAUGUGAACAGAAAGCUAAAGGAAGAGAGCCGGGACUGUUGCAGAGCCCACAGGAAAAAGCUGGGACACAGAAAAGGAAGGUAGCAAGAGUCUGGCAGAGAUUGACCUCCGAGGAAUUUGAAGUCCCACAGAGGGAGUAAGUGUGCUGUUUCUUUGCUCCACUCAUUCCUGUGACAAACUGCUGACUGACAAAUUAUUGGGGAGCACCUCUGCCCUCAUUAACCCCUGCAAUGCUGUCAGUGGCAAUUUGGGAACUUCCUGGGAAUAGAGCCCCAGGUGGCCUUCUUAUACAGAUGUGCUUGCAUUCCUCUCAGGUCCAAACUGAGAUGGCAGAAACCAUACUGGUUGUGCCCCUAUUGUGGGCCACUGUCCUGCUCAGGGAACCUCAUCCUUUGUGUCACUGCAUCGCCAGAUUCCCUGCAAAUGUACCCAAGAACCUGCUCUGACUUGGCAACCACGGGGACUGGUGGAACCAUGAGGAAUUGCAGAAUCCCUGGAGAUGUAACCUUCCACACAGGCCACCCUUAAGGGAGUGGGGAGCAUAGCCCACAAAAGCACCCCUUGUGACAAAGGAAACAUGGGUCCAGUGCGGAUCUCUGAAGGAGGCAGCACCAAUGACCAGGAAUAGAUGUGUGUGUGUGGAGGGGGGUGGGUGGGGGGGUGUCAUCUCCCAUUCCCCUUGUCCACUGUUCCAGAUGCAGCAGAGGCUUUCUCCACUGCAGACUGUCACGAAUGCACUUGAAGACAGCCUUUCCAGUGCUAUUCACAGAAACUGCACCCCCGUUGAAAGUGAGCUUGUACCCCACUGGCAUGCAUGAUGGGCAGGGCCCAAUCUCCCCCUCCGUACAUAGAGGAGCAGCAUCGCAGCAACAGAAGGCAGUCAAGCCAUGAAGCCUGGUCUGGACUGGAAGAAGAAGCAUUGUCCUGGGGUCAUUUCAGUCCUGGGGUCAUUUCAAAAUAUUCUUCUGCCAGAAUAUUUUCUCUGACCUCAGUAACACUGUGGCCAGAGUCAAAGGACACUGUCUAUAUGAACUGAAGGUCAUGAGCUCUGUGACAGGGGCACAACAGGGAAGCAAAUCACAUUCCUCCCUGCCCAGGACUAGAGACAGAUGUAACCCCCCAACUUCUUCCCCCAAGACCUCAGUACAUCCCAACACAACUCUCCCUGCCUGCCCCCAUCAGGAUGGGUUGCCUCCACUUAUCAAAGGGCUACCAAAUGUUACUCUUAAGCGCCACCUACUGGAAUGGAGACUGCUGCAUCACUGAAUAAAAAUCCCUGCUGUCCGAAGAGCACAGGGUUAGUGCAUGAGAUAAGCUUCCUGAGACCGCUGCAUUCCCAGUCACGCAGGGCAUAGUGUAUUGGCUCAUAUGCCCAACACAUUGCUAAGGCAAGCAGCAUUUGAGAAAACCACCACACAUGAUUCCAUAUCUUUGUUACUGUGAAUGUGCUGCAAUGAACAUGGGAAUGCAGAUAACGCAUCAAAACACUGGUUUCACUUCUUUUGGAUAUAUACCCAGCAAUGAGGUUGCUGGAUCAUAUUUUUAAUUUUCUGGGGAACCUCCAUGCUGUUUUUUUAUAACGACUUUACCCAUUUACAUUCCCACCAAUAGUGAACAAGUGUUUUCUUUUCUCCACGUCUCCACCAACACUUAUUAUCUUUUGCUUUUUUGAUAAAAUACACUCUAAUACGUAUGAGGUGAUAUCUCAUUGCGGUUUUAAUUUACAUUUCCCUGAUGGUUAGUGAUGUUGAGAAUUUUUUCAUAUCUGCAUUGGCCAUUUGUAUGUCUUCUUUUAAGAAAUAUCUAAGUCUUUUGUCCAUUUUUAAUUCUGUUAUUUAUUUUCUUGCUAUUGAUUUGUUUAAGUUCCUUAUAGAUUUUGGAUAUUAACCCCUACCAGAUGUAGCAAACUGAAUUCAAUGGCACAUUAAAAGGAUGGUUCACUAUGAUCAGGUGGGAUUCAAGAAUGGAUCACCAUAUGCAAAUCAAUAAAUGUGAUACACCCCAUUAACAGAAUGAAGAACAAAAACCAUAUGAUCAUCUCAAUAGAUGUAGAAAUGCAUUUGACAAAAUUCAACAUUUUUUAUGAUAAAAACUCUCAACAAAUUAGUUAUAGAAGCAAUGUACCUCAACACCAUAAAGGUCGUGUAUCACAAGCCCACAUAACAUAAUAUGCAAUGGUGAAAAGUUAAAGCUUUUCCUCUAAGAUCAGGCACAGUAUAAGCAUGCCCAAUCUUGCCGUUUCUAUUCAACAUAAUAAUGGAAAUCCUAGCCAAAGUGAUUAGGAAAGAGAAACAAUAAAAAACAUCCAACUCAUAGAUAAGGGAGUUAAAUUGUUUCUGUUUACAGA
rnacentral:lncRNA from 10 species